rnacentral:rRNA from 1 species
AUUGAACGCUGGCGGAAUGCUUUACACAUGCAAGUCGAACGGCAGCACGGGUGCUUGCACCUGGUGGCGAGUGGCGAACGGGUGAGUAACAUAUCGGAACGUACCCAGUAAUGGGGGAUAACUAGUCGAAAGAUUAGCUAAUACCGCUUACGCCCUGAGGGGGAAAGCGGGGAUCGUAAGACCUCGCGUUAUUGGAGCGGCCGAUAUCUGAUUAGCUAGUUGGUGGGGUAAAGGCCUACCAAGGCGACGAUCAGUAGCUGGUCUGAGAGGACGACCAGCCACACUGGAACUGAGACACGGUCCAGACUCCUACGGGAGGCAGCAGUGGGGAAUUUUGGACAAUGGGCGUAAGCCUGAUCCAGCCAUUCCGCGUGAGUGAAGAAGGCCUCGGGUCGUAAAGCUCUUUCGCAAGGGAAGAAACGAUACGAGCGAAUAACUCGUGUUAAUGACGGUACCUUGAUAAGAAGCACCGGCUAACUACGUGCCAGCAGCCGCGGUAAUACGUAGGGUGCGAGCGUUAAUCGGAAUUACUGGGCGUAAAGCGUGCGCAGGCGGUUUUGUAAGUCAGAUGUGAAAUCCCCGGGCUCAACCUGGGAACUGCGUUUGAAACUACAAGGCUAGAGUAUAGGAGAGGGGGGUAGAAUUCCACGUGUAGCAGUGAAAUGCGUAGAGAUGUGGAGGAAUACCAAUGGCGAAGGCAGCCCCUGGCCUAAUACUGACGCUCAUGCACGAAAGCGUGGGGAGCAAACAGGAUUAGAUA